rnacentral:rRNA from 1 species
UACGUAGGGUGCAAGCGUUAAUCGGAAUUACUGGGCGUAAAGCGUACGCAGGCGGCUUUGCAAGACAGGUGUGAAAUCCCCGGGCCUAACCUGGGAACUGCAUUUGUGACUGCAUAGCUAGAGUUUGUCAGAGGGGGGUGGAAUUCCACGUGUAGCAGUGAAAUGCGUAGAGAUGCGGAGGAACACCGAUGGCGAAGGCAGCCCCCUGGGCUGACACUGACGCUCAGGCACGAAAGCGUGGGGAGCAAACAGG